rnacentral:misc_RNA from 1 species
UCCAUAGGUGGCAAGCGUGAUCCGGAAUUAUUGGUCGUAACGCGCGCGUAGGCGGUCUGUUAAGUCUGAUGUGAAAGCCCCCGGCUCAACCGGGGAGGGUCAUUGGAAACUGGCAGACUUGAGUGCAGAAGAGGAAAGUGGAAUUCCAUGUGUAGCGGUGAAAUGCGUAGAGAUGUGGAGGAACACCAGUGGCGAAGGCGGCCUUCUGGACUGACACUGACGCUGAGGUGCGGAAGCGUGGGUAGCAAACAGG